UGUGACAUCGAUUGACAGCACACAAAAGGUGCUAGGAAAUAUCUGGGAGCAAAUAUUCAGUUCGAACUCACAGCUCACAGGCGAUAAAGCAAAUUUUUAAAUUACACAAAUAACAAAUUUUUAUUUAGUUUUUUUUUUUUUUUGGAACAUUUUUUCUCAGAAUGCUCAACUGAGAAUGCCAGUUCCACCACCACCACCACCACAACAAUAACAAGAAUAAAGAAUAAAAUAUUGUAAAGCUCGGUGCCCUUAAUGGAAAAUGCAACACCACAUGGAUGCCACUUGCAUCCGGCGCAUUGCAUUGCAGACACACGUUUUAACCUUUAACCUUUAAUCUUUAAUCUUUAAUAUGGCUUCGUUGCCUCAAAAUACCACCACAACAGCGCCGGGAGACUCACUGCCAAAGUCUCCACGGCGCCAAGAAGGGAUCGACAGCAUCGAUGGAGGCACCCACAGCUCCCCCUUGGUGCGGUACUUCUACUUCAGCUGUCUCCCACAUUAAGGAUUACAGGGGACUACUUCGAGCCUUCGACAUUGCGGCUGGGCCGCAAUGCCGCAGGACAACAAAAUAAUAAUAACUGCGAUGAAAUGCGGACCAUCUCCACUUAGACAAUAAAUGCAACAAAAAAA